GGGCUACUGUAAACAUCCUUGACUGGAAGCUGGUGUUUAGUUCUGGGGCUUUCAGUCGGAUGUUUGCAGCAGCCAACU
ensembl:miRNA mir30e-2 microRNA 30a